rnacentral:rRNA from 1 species
CGUACACUCCUACGGGAGGCAGCAGUAGGGAAUCUUCCACAAUGGGUGCAAACCUGAUGGAGCAAUGCCGCGUGAGUGAAGAAGGUCUUCGGAUCGUAAAGCUCUGUUGUUAGAGAAGAACACGUGCUAGGUAACUACUAGCGCCUUGACGGUAUCUAACCAGAAAGUCACGGCUAACUACGUGCCAGCAGCCGCGGUAAUACGUAGGUGACAAGCGUUGUCCGGAUUUAUUGGGCGUAAAGGGAGCGCAGGCGGUCUGUUUAGUCUAAUGUGAAAGCCCACGGCUUAACCGUGGAACGGCAUUGGAAACUGACAGACUUGAAUGUAGAAGAGGAAAAUGGAAUUCCAAGUGUAGCGGUGGAAUGCGUAGAUAUUUGGAGGAACACCAGUGGCGAAGGCGAUUUUCUGGUCUAACAUUGACGCUGAGGCUCGACAGCGUGGGGAGCGAACAGGAUUAGAAACCCUUGUAGUCCCAUG